rnacentral:misc_RNA from 1 species
GAAUUCCCAGCUCCUUUUUAAUAAACUCUUUUGCUCUCUCGGGGGAGAAGGCUGGUACUCUGUCCUGCAACUUAGCAAGCUCAUCUACAAAUUCUCGAGGAAAUAGAUCAGAUCUAGUAGAGGAUAACUGCCCAAGUUUGAUAAAUGUUGGGCCAAGCUGCAGCACACAUUCUCUUAACCAUGAAGCUGUUCCACGUCUUCUCACUUUCUGUUUAUCUUCAGUAAAGCCACCCACAUAUGUCCAUUUCGCAUUGUCCAAGAAAACACGCACCCGCAGCGAAAGGACAAAGGACCACACAUCUAUACUUCUUUGGAUGGAAUUAUAGUUCUCAUUAGCCCAGCUGAAACCUUCAUCUGAAGGUAAAACCUUUAGAUCUUCAGCAGGCAGAAGUUCUUUAGAUUUUUGUUUCUUUGCAGGAAGUGGAGUAGCAACACGCUUAGCUAGAUUUGUUCCAUUGAUUCUCUGUGUGGAACCAUUAACAACCGUGGAACCAUUAGCAGAUGGUGCAAUUCUCUUUGUCACUUCACUUGUAGGUACCAUUUUAACUGGACGACCAUUUAUACCUACUUUU